GGACCCUGAGCUUCUAUCAAUUCAAAGGCCCAAAAGAAAAGGCUGGGGCCCUCCUACUCCCAGUUACCCAGCCCUAAAGACCAGCCAGGUUCUUGUGCAAUUGGGAAUCUUUUACACAAGAAUGAGCCUACAUGGCGGGAAAAGCAAACAGUUGGCACAACAUAACUGCACAGACCCAAUGGGCACCAUGCCUGAUACUCUUCUGAGAAUGUCCAAUUCCUGACUGCCAGAGGCUGUUGACAAGCCUGGAACUGGGCCAAGAAAUUGAAAGUUACAGCCCCAAAGGCAGGAGCACAGGACACGGACAGGACAGGACCUGGAAGGGACACGUGGCCCAGGUCCCUGCAUUGAUAUGGGAGUGCUGUGGAGAGACAGGACGUGGAGGGGACAUGUGGCCCAGGUCCCCCCAUGGACACGGGAAUGCCAUGGAGGGACGGGAUGUGGAGGAGACGUGUGGCCCAGGUCCCCCUGUGGACAUGGGAAUGCUGUGGAAGGACGGGAUGUGGAGAGGACAUGUGGCCCAGGUCCCGCCAUGGACACGGGAAUGUCGUGGAGGGAUGGGACGUGGAGGGGACGCAUGGCCCAGGUCCCCCUGUAGACAUAGGAAUGCUGUGGAGGGAUGGGAUGUGGAGGGGAUGUGUGGCCCACUUCCCCCCCCCCUCCCCGUGGACAUGGGGACACUGUAGAAAGACAGAACACUGAGGGGACAUGUGGCCCAGGUCACCUCAAGGACAUGGGGACCCUGUGGAGACGGGACACUGAUAUUGUCUGUCCCUAUGUGUCUAUCUCACUGUCCUGUCUCUCCUGCUUCCAUGGCCACCAGCCUCUGUGGGCUGACACUGAGGGAGGGACACUGAGCAUGGCUCCUGUGGGUCUGUGGGCCUGUGCUCUGGUCUGGCCGCACGCUGUUGGUGGGCUGUGGCACUAGGCUGGUGCCCUGCCUGCAGUCUGUUGUGACUGUGACGGAGUCAUGUGUUUCAAGGCCAUUUUCAGGUGGGAGGCUGUGGAAGUUGGGGAAGUGCGUGGAAAAGAGGUUCAGGCUGGGCCGUCUGGCGGAGUUGUACCCCGGAGGGGCUUCUCUCCGUCCCACAGCCAAGGUGGGUGCGUGGGCCCUGCAGCUUCAGAGAGUUUUCCUUGCACGAGUUCCUGUGGGACUGCAGGCCGCCUGCGCCCCGCCUCCUACCCCUGGCCCAAGCACAUUCUCCGCCCUGGAUGAAGGAACUUCCAACAGCAGAGCAGCAUGGGACGCCCCUGCACCCACCACUGCCCUCACACAGCCAGAGGAAAACAGCUGAACAUAGACACUAGCGGGAGGGACAUGCCGGGAGACAGACAGAGACAGGGAGAGGAAGAGAUAGGGAGAGGAAAGGAGAGAGACGGAGAAAGAUGGAGGGAGACAGAGAGAGAGAGAUUGAGAGACAGAGGGGAAGAUAGAGACAGAGGGGGGAAGCAGAGAGACAGAGACAGAGGGAGACAGAGAGUGGCAGAGAGGUAAGACAGAGAGACAGAAACAGAGAGACAGACUGAAA
rnacentral:lncRNA from 1 species